rnacentral:sRNA from 1 species
AAAAAACUUUUUUGGCUAAAAGAACUGCCAGCAAACCUAAAAAAAGCGCUUUGGAACAGCAAAGUAAAAGGCACCAAAGUGGUUUACAAGACCACUUUUUGGGUUUACAAAAGUAAGUCAAAGGUGGUUUCAUCC